UACGGGGGGGGCAAGCGUUGUUCGGAAUUACUGGGCGUAAAGGGCGCGUAGGCGGCCUGGCAAGUGGAUGGUGAAAUCCCUCGGCUUAACCGAGGAACUGCCAUCCAGACUGCUUGGCUUGAGACCGGGAGAGGUGAGUGGAAUUCCCAGUGUAGCGGUGAAAUGCGUAGAUAUUCGCAAGAACACCAGUGGCGAAGGCGGCUCACUGGCCCGGUACUGACGCUGAGGUGCGAAAGCGUGGGGAGCAAACAGG
rnacentral:rRNA from 1 species